ensembl:lncRNA
ACCAACUCUCACGGUUUCGCCGUGUGACACACGCUUUUGCAUGUUUACGCACUGACGCCACACAUUCAAUAUCUCACGCAAAAAAAAAAUCUGAUUUUGGGCCGAGACGCGUUCGUUCCUUUUCAAACUCCCCGACGGUAAAUGCCGCUAUGGAGCGCAUCUGUAACCCUAUUCGCUGCAUAGACAUCCUAUUUACUCCAAAGUCUCGAAGUAAUAGCGAGAGACAGCAGAAGAGUUACAAAGAGACACAACUGCGGGAGAAACUCGCGAAGAGAAUCCAUCGCUGAAGAAAAUCUUCAUCUCCAAUCUGAGCAGAGACUAGGCCAAAGAAAAGGACUCACUCUGAAGACUUUUCCAAACAGCACUUUGAACAGGUUUCCCCAUCUCCUCCCAAACCAUGGGCCAGAGGAGCAUGACCACCUGGGUGAGGAGUUUCUGAAUUAUCAGACCAUGCCAACAACCUCCCUUCAGGACGAAACGGAGAUGGAAAGCUUCUGGGCUGGAAUGGCAACACGGAAACGUAAGAGUGGCAGGAGUCAAAGAAUUUGAGAGGCUUGCUGCUGUCGCCAAGCUGGUCCUGGUGUUGCCCCAUUCGAAUGCAGAUGCUGAGAGGGUGUUUUCAGUUGUGGGACUGAACAAAACUAAGACCAGAAAUAGCCUGGCAUUGGAUGGCACCCUGUCUUCAAUAAUGGCCAUAAAGAUGGCUGACCUGGAGCCCUGUUUCAGAUGGGAGCCCCCCUCAGAGGUCAUCAAGGCCUCCAAGAAGGCCACAGACCAGUACAACCUUGCCCACAGAUCUUAGAAAAUGACUAACCAGGUUCUGAUCUGCAUCUGAUACCUAAUUUUUAGUUAUUUUUGACAUGUGUUGACUCCAUUUUAUCGCUUAAAAAAGCUACUGUUUAUGCACUUUAUUUGUUGCACUUUUUUGUUUGAUGGAACAUGUGGUGGGAGGCUUUGAAUAAUGAAAAAUAUUUCUCCCUAACUAAACUUGUGUAAUUUUUUGCUGGACAUAAAUCAUUAAGUGCUCCUAAAUUAAGUGCUCAUAAAUCAUUAAAUACAAUUAUUAACAAUAUAGGUUAGGUUUCAGUUAAGAAUUAGUUGAAUACCAUUGUAAUCAAAAUGUCAAUCAACCUACCUUGGUCAAAUCUUAAACACAGGUCUAUUAAUUAGGCUAUAUUGUGGUACAUAGACAGUCAUUGAGGCACAAUAAUAGUUUUCUGGUUGAAUGUUCAGCUCAAGUCUAUAAGGCCCUACAAGUCAUGAUCAGAUGAACAUGAAUCAAAAUAAGUUCAGGUAUUGCACAUCUUUAGCAUACCACCCAAAAAUCCACUAGAAUGCAGGAAAUAACAUCUACUUAAACCAAAAUGUCCUGGGGGUGGACCUUCAGCUAUGUCUUUGCUUCACAG